CCCUUAGAUGUUCUGGGCCGCACGCGCGCUACACUGAUGCAUGCAACGAGUUCCUUUGAUUUGGGUUGGGAGUCUCUCCCACCUCACUUCUAUCCUUGGCCGAGAGGCCCGGGCACUCUUGUGAACCUGCAUCGUGACGGGGCUAGAUCUUUGCAAUUAUGGAUCUUCAACGAGGAAUGCCUAGUAGGCGUUGGUCAUCAGCCAGCGUCGAUUACGUCCCUGCCCUUUGUACACACCGCCCGUCGCUCCUACCGAUUGAGUGGUCCGGUGAGGCUUUGGGAUCUGAGCGGAAAGAGCGUUUCGCUGUUUCUGCUCGGAAAACUCAGUCGAACCUUAUCAUUUAGAGGAAGGAGAAGUCGUAACA
rnacentral:rRNA from 1 species